rnacentral:rRNA from 1 species
CCUACGGGAGGCAGCAGUAGGGAAUAUUGCUCAAUGGGGGAAACCCUGAAGCAGCAACGCCGCGUGGAUGAUGAAGGUUUUCGGAUUGUAAACUCCUUUUGUCAGAGAAGAUAAUGACGGUAUCUAACGAAUAAGCACCGGCUAACUACGUGCCAGCAGCCGCGGUAAUACGGAGGGUGCAAGCGUUACUCGGAUUUACUGGGCGUAAAGAGAGCGUAGGCGGGAUAGCAAGUCAGAUGUGAAAUCCUAUGGCUUAACCAUAGAACUGCAUUUGAAACUGUUAUGCUAGAGUAUAGGAGAGGUAGGUGGAAUUCUUGGUGUAGGGGUAAAAUCCGUAGAGAUCAAGAGGAAUACUCAUUGCGAAGGCGACCUGCUAGAACAUAACUGACGCUGAGGCGCGAAAGCGUGGGGAGCAAACAGGAUUAGAUACCCCGGUAGUC